AGCAGCCGCGGUAAUUCUAGCUCCAAUAGCGUAUAUUAAAGUUGUUGCAGUUAAAAAGCUCGUAGUUGAAUUUCGGGAUUUGUCAGUUGGUCGGGCUUCACUGUCCGUAUUGACUUGAUGGAUUCUUACCUUCUGAAUAACCAGCAUGCUAUUAAGUUAGUGCGUUGGGGAAGCAGAUCUAUUACCUUGAAAAAAUUUAGAGUGCUUAAAGCGAGCUAGUGCUUGAAUAGAUUAGCAUGGAAUAAUAAAAUAGGACGGCAUGGUUCUAUUUUGUUGGUUUCUAGGAUCACCGUAAUGAUUAAUAGGGAUAGUUGGGGGCAUUAGUAUUCAAUUGUCAGAGGUGAAAUUCUUGGAUUUAUUGAAGACUAACUUCUGCGAAAGCAUUUGCCAAGGAUGUUUUCAUUAAUCAAGAACGAAAGUUAGGGGAUCGAAGACGAUCAGAUACCGUCGUAGUCUUAACCAUAAACUAUGCCGACUAGGAAUCGGACGAUGUUAAUUUUAUAAUGACUCGUUCGGCACC
rnacentral:rRNA from 1 species